UGGGUCNACCUCCCACCCGUGUUUAUUUUACCUUGUUGCUUCGGCGGGCCCGCCUUAACUGGCCGCCGGGGGGCUUACGCCCCCGGGCCCGCGCCCGCCGAAGACACCCUCGAACUCUGUCUGAAGAUUGUAGUCUGAGUGAAAAUAUAAAUUAUUUAAAACUUUCAACAACGGAUCUCUUGGUUCCGGCAUCGAUGAAGAACGCAGCGAAAUGCGAUACGUAAUGUGAAUUGCAAAUUCAGUGAAUCAUCGAGUCUUUGAACGCACAUUGCGCCCCCUGGUAUUCCGGGGGGCAUGCCUGUCCGAGCGUCAUUGCUGCCCUCAAGCACGGCUUGUGUGUUGGGCCCCGUCCUCCGAUCCCGGGGGACGGGCCCGAAAGGCAGCGGCGGCACCGCGUCCGGUCCUCGAGCGUAUGGGGCUUUGUCACCCGCUCUGUAGGCCCGGCCGGCGCUUGCCGAUCAACCCAAAUUUUUAUCCAGGUUGACCUCGGAUCAGGUAGGGAUACCCGCUGAACUUAAGCAUAUCA
rnacentral:rRNA from 1 species